UUUCCUCACUUAUUACUGUGAGUUCUUUACUUGUUUCUGACUUUUCUUACCUGUUAGACUAGUUUCUUCACUUUGGUUCUACGUGUGAGCCAUGACUGCUUGACCUUGUUGAUUACCAUGCUUUGAAUAGUCCUUUGCCUAUUCAUGUCACUUCUGUAUGUUUAUGUUCAUCUAGUUUGUUCCCUUUUGUCAAUAUGAUUGACCCUGCAUGUCUAAUACGCCUGUUCAUUCCUUUCUAUUUAUAUGAUGAAGUGCAGAAUCAUGACCACUUCUUGAUUAAUCUUGAAAUAUAGUGACGAGAGAUAAAUCUCGUCCCUAAAAGUCUACAUAUAUGAACGAUAUUUAUUCCUGGUCCCUAGUUCUCUAUUUGCCUUUUAAUUAGCGAAAGGGACCAAAUCCGACCACUAAAAUAGUUGAAUUCUGGUCCUUAAUACUGUUAUUGAGCGUCACUAUUUUUGCCUUAAAAAUAUGAAAUAAACAAAAAUGAAAACUAUGAAAUUAAAAAGAUAACAACUCUGUUGCUAGAAGUCAGCUCUAUCAAAACUCCGUCUCUCCUUCUUAAAACCUUAAAAAUCCUAGACCCGUCUCUCAAAACCCGUAAGAUCACCAAAAUCAUCUCUAAAUAUUUCGUUCUUCCGAUUUCUUUUUCUAUUGUUGGAGAGACAUGGGUAGCCGUUGGACUGAGUAUGGAUGUUCUUCCUACUGUGUAACUGUUGUCGAAUAUUGCGUUGUUCCUAAAUCUGGUACAAGCUUGUGGGCUGAUUUUGGUUACAACAGGUCUAGCUAGGGCUUAAACUCCAGAAAUAUUUUAGGAUUCCUCAAUAAACAUUGUCCAGUGAAGAAAAUGUUUUCUUAUUAUUGACAACGAGGUACAAGGUGAAGGACCAAGUAUAUUCAAAUAGCAAGAUGUUGAACAUAAAGUGCAAUUUUUUUUAACCUUAAUGAAGAUAUGAAGAAUACCGUCAACAAUAAUUUUUUUCGACUAACAGAGUCCAUAUGAAGAUGCUACACUAGCAGAAAUUUGCUCCCUCAGAGGCUGUACAAAGUUUAACAACUGCGCCAAGAGUUUGUUUCAGCUGUGCACAGUUUUAGACAUUGCUGUAGAGAUUCAAUCUCCAUUGAGUUCAACGGCUUGACGUACUCAGUUUUAAAAAAUAUUGAGAUUGAUACCAAGUGAAGUUUUCAGGGCGUAGUGGAUGCAGAAAUAAAGAUUUGUUGAAUAUAAAAUCAAGACAGUUUCAUGGUAGAAAAAAAAGACUUGGCUGAAGGGGAUCAAACCACAACAACAGAACCGGCCUCUUAUACUAGACAAUUUUCCUGCAGACAAAAGCUAAUACACAAUUUGUCCAAUUCGUUUUCCUUAUUGCUACCUAACUGAGUUAUUCAUUUACAGUUAGUUGUCGGUUGAUCUAAUUUUUGCCUUCAAACUAAUUUUUUCAACUUAUAUUAGUUGAAUUACUCACUUUGGAGUGUAUUAGACAGACUGGUAUAGCGAGAAUAUUUAGAUGGUUAUACCAUGUAAAGUCUAAAUUCAGAAAUAUGUAAGAGGUAAGGUAUAUGUCCCCUCCUUGUAUUUGACAUGUUAAUAUAAUCUACAGGUCUGUAUGAUUAAUCUUAA